rnacentral:rRNA from 1 species
CCUACGGGGAGCUGCAGUGGGGAAUAUUGGACAAUGGGGGCAACCCUGAUCCAGCCAUGCCGCGUGUGUGAAGAAGGCCCUCGGGUUGUAAAGCACUUUCAGUGAGGAAGAACGCCUGGUGGUUAAUACCCAUCAGGAAAGACAUCACUCACAGAAGAAGCACCGGCUAACUCCGUGCCAGCAGCCGCGGUAAUACGGAGGGUGCGAGCGUUAAUCGGAAUUACUGGGCGUAAAGCGCGCGUAGGUGGCUUGAUAAGCCGGUUGUGAAAGCCCCGGGCUCAACCUGGGAACGGCAUCCGGAACUGUCAAGCUAGAGUGCAGGAGAGGAAGGUAGAAUUCCCGGUGUAGCGGUGAAAUGCGUAGAGAUCGGGAGGAAUACCAGUGGCGAAGGCGGCCUUCUGGACUGACACUGACACUGGGGUGCGAAAGCGUGGGUAGCAAACAGGAUUAGAUACCCGUGUAGUC